rnacentral:rRNA from 1 species
AUACGGAGGGGGUUAGCGUUGUUCGGAAUUACUGGGCGUAAAGCGCGCGUAGGCGGACUAUUAAGUCAGGGGUGAAAUCCCGGGGCUCAACCCCGGAACUGCCUUUGAUACUGGUAGUCUUGAGUUCGAGAGAGGUGAGUGGAUUUCCGAGUGUAGAGGUGAAAUUCGUAGAUAUUCGGAGGAACACCAGUGGCGAAGGCGGCUCACUGGCUCGAUACUGACGCUGAGGUGCGAAAGCGUGGGAGCAAACAGGAUUAGAUACCCUGGUAGUCCACGCCGUAAACGAUGAAUGCCAGUCGUCGGGAUGCUUGCAUCUCGGUGACACACCUAACGGAUUAAGCAUUCCGCCUGGGGAGUACGGUCGCAAGAUUAAA